AGCGGUAAGGCCCUUCGGGGUACACGAGCGGCGAACGGGUGAGUAACACGUGGGUAACCUGCCCUGUACUCUGGGAUAAGCCCGGGAAACUGGGUCUAAUACCGGAUAUGACCUCCUUCGGCAUCCUUGGUGGUGGAAAGUUCCGGCGGUAUGGGAUGGACCCGCGGCCUAUCAGCUUGUUGGUGGGGUAAUGGCCUACCAAGGCGACGACGGGUAGCCGGCCUGAGAGGGUGACCGGCCACACUGGGACUGAGACACGGCCCAGACUCCUACGGGAGGCAGCAGUGGGGAAUAUUGCACAAUGGGCGAAAGCCUGAUGCAGCGACGCCGCGUGAGGGAUGACGGCCUUCGGGUUGUAAACCUCUUUCAGCAGGGACGAAGCGCAAGUGACGGUACCUGCAGAAGAAGCACCGGCUAACUACGUGCCAGCAGCCGCGGUAAUACGUAGGGUGCGAGCGUUGUCCGGAAUUAUUGGGCGUAAAGAGCUCGUAGGCGGUUUGUCGCGUCGGCCGUGAAAACUUGGGGCUUAACCCCGAGCCUGCGGUCGAUACGGGCAGACUUGAGUUCGGCAGGGGAGACUGGAAUUCCUGGUGUAGCGGUGAAAUGCGCAGAUAUCAGGAGGAACACCGGUGGCGAAGGCGGGUCUCUGGGCCGAUACUGACGCUGAGGAGCGAAAGCGUGGGGAGCGAACAGGAUUAGAUACCCUGGUAGUCCACGCCGUAAACGGUGGGUGCUAGGUGU
rnacentral:rRNA from 1 species